UAGUAACGGCGAGUGAAGCGGGAUGAGCUCAAGCUUAAAAUCUCCGUACAAGUUUUGUAUGGCGAAUUGUAGUCUAUAGAGGCGUGGUCAGCGUGGGCGCUUGGGGUAAGUUCCUUGGAAGAGGACAGCAUGGAGGGUGAUACUCCCGUUCAUCCCUGAGUGGCUCGUGCGUACGACCCGUUUUCUUUGAGUCGCGUUGUUUGGGAAUGCAGCGCAAAGUAGGUGGUAAAUUCCAUCUAAAGCUAAAUAUUGGUGCGAGACCGAUAGCGAACAAGUACCGUGAGGGAAAGAUGAAAAGAACUUUGAAAAGAGAGUUAAAGAGUACCUGAAACUGCUGAAAGGGAACCGAAUCGUUUCCAGUGUCUAUAAUCCGUGGUAUAUUUCAUUGGCGAGUGUGUGCGUGCGUGUGCUGUGGCAGUGGCUUUUUUGGCUGCGCUCGGCGUGUGUGCUGUGUGUGCUUGCUGGUGCCCUGUGCUGCGGUGGGACGUCAAGGUCAGUUCGUAUGCUGCGGGAAAUGGCUGCCGAGGAGGUAGGGCUUACGCUUGCGUUUGUCUGUUAUAUCUUGGUGGACGAGUUGUCGCGGUUGGGACUGAGGUGCCUACAACGUGCUUUUGAGUGAGUUUGUGUCUCCGUGUGCGCCGUGUGUGGAUAGCUUGCUAUGUAUGUGCGGUUGUGUGUGGAUUGAUGCGGGCUUUAACUUGUUGCCGUUC
rnacentral:rRNA from 1 species